UACGUAGGGUCCGAGCGUUGUCCGGAGUUAUUGGGCGUAAAGCGCGCGCAGGCGGCUUGACGCGCCCGACGUGAAAGCCCCCGGCUUAACCGGGGAGGGUCGUCGGGUACGGUCAGGCUUGAGGGCGGGAGAGGGUGGUGGAAUUCCCGGUGUAGUGGUGAAAUGCGUAGAGAUCGGGAGGAACACCUGUGGCGAAGGCGACUGCCUGGACCAGCACUGACACUGAGGCACGAAAGCGUGGGGAGCAAACAGG
rnacentral:rRNA from 1 species